rnacentral:rRNA from 1 species
GAUGAACGCUGACAGAAUGCUUAACACAUGCAAGUCUUUGGCGAAUCUGUGCUUGCACAGGCUAGCCAAGGCGGACGGGUGAGUAACGCGAAAAGAACUUGCCCUGCAGACAGGGAUAACAGACGGAAACGACUGAUAACACCUGAUACAGGUGCCGGCACGCAUGUGCCUGGCAUUGAAAAGAGAUGCUGCAGGAGAGCGUUGCGUCCUAUUAGCUUGUUGGUGAGGUGACGGCGCAACAAGGCGAUGAUAGGUAGCCGGCCUGAGAGGGUGAACGGCCACAAGGGGACUGAGAUACGGCCCUUACUCCUACGGGAGGCAGCAGUGGGGAAUAUUGGAAUAUGGGGGCAACCCUGAUACAGCAAUUCUGUGUGCAAGAAGAAGGUUUUCGGAGUGUAAAGUGCUUUCAGCAGAGAAGAAGAAAGUGACGGUACCUGCAGAAGAAGCGACGGCUAAAUACGUG